UUUGUUCCUGAGGCUCACAAUUUAAUUCUUCUGUAGUUGCUAUCAAAUAUCUCAUUUUGUCAUGAUCUCAUUGUGCAAAGCCCCUCAUGUUCAAGUAUGAUCCACAUGCUAUUCACCAAGAACAUAUACCAUAUCAGUCCAAGCAAAUGCAUAGUCCUUAUUUUGGUAGUGGGUUAGUUGGUGAUCAAUGGGAUGGAUACCACAUUUCAUCUCCUCCAUUUGCCACCACACAUAUUUCCAAAUGGAAGAAAGCUGCUAACUACUAAGCAUGUGUGACAUUGUAUUUGUAUUUCAAUAAAUGUAUCACCUGUGUUUCCCAUGAUGAAUGUAUCACUUUUGCAGGUGCUUGCCGAAAUGACUAAUGGUGGAGUUGAUCGGAGCGUUGAAUGCACUGGCAACAUAAACGCCAUGAUAUCUGCAUUUGAGUGUGUUCAUGAUGUACUUCUCUUGCCCCGUGAACUUGCUUUUCAGAAAUCUAAUAUACGGC
rnacentral:lncRNA from 1 species